rnacentral:rRNA from 1 species
AUUGAACGCUGGCGGCAUGCCUAACACAUGCAAGUCGAACGGAGGGCUUCGGCCCUCAGUGGCGGACGGGUGAGUAACGCGUAGGGAUCUGCCCCGCAGUGGGGGACAACCUGGGAAACUCAGGCUAAUACCGCAUACGCUCCAUGGAGGAAGGCGGGGGACCUUCGGGCCUCGCGCUGCGGGAUGAACCUACGUCCGAUUAGCUAGUUGGUGGGGUAAGGGCCCACCAAGGCGACGAUCGGUAGCUGGUCUGAGAGGACGGCCAGCCACACUGGGACUGAGACACGGCCCAGACUCCUACGGGAGGCAGCAGUGGGGAAUAUUGGACAAUGGGCGCAAGCCUGAUCCAGCAAUGCCGCGUGGGUGAAGACGGCCUGCGGGUUGUAAA